CCCUUAGAUGUUCUGGGCUGCACGCGUGCUACAAUGAAGCGUCCAACAAGAUGCGAAGCCGAAAGGCUCAGCGGAUCUUUGAAGUCGUUUCGUGACCGGGACAGUUGAUUGCAAUUAUUCGACUCGAACGAGGAAUUCCUUGUAAUCGCGAUUCAUCAUAUCGCGCUGAAUACGUCCCUGCCCUUUGUACACACCGCCCGUCGCUACUACCGAUUGAAUGAUUUAGUGAGGACUUCGGACUGGGACCGAUGCGGCUUUCGGGCUGCGUCGGUAUUCUGGAAAGAUGUCCAAACUGUAUCAUUUAGAGGAAGUAAAAGUCGUAACA
rnacentral:rRNA from 1 species